GUAGUAAGGGUGCCUCCCGUAUGUUUCUUCGAUAAGCAUUAAAGGAAGGACAUAAGUGUGCUCUUUGACAAUGAGCUGAUCCAUAUGACCACACGUGGCCACGUCUUGCAAACAACGGCCAGCACAAGGGGCUUGAUUCGGUGGGGAGGUAUGGAGGAUGACCUGGUUGUCUGCAUGCGCUAGCUGCUUCUGCUGGCAGUCCAGCCGGAGAUGUUGCCGGGCGACUACACACUCAAGCUUCUGCUGCUUUGAGCCACCUACUCCUACUGUUGUCCACCACUUGGAUUUGCUGUUGCAGGGACAAGCGUGCACAAGUGUAGUGGCUUGGCAAGAUGUUUUAUUUCGUCCAUCUCUACAAUGGGCAUCCAAAGGACAUGGCGUUCAAGAUUAUUUUCAGACUGGUGGUUGAAUCGGAUGCGAGGAUGUAGAUUGCAUGCGGCAAUGAGCAGGCGAUAGAUGAGCCAAGCUUGUUCGGCUGGUGGAGCAGAUUAAUGUGCCCCCCCCCCCCCCCCUGAAGGGGAGCUAGUGCCGGGUCAGAUGGGCAUGCUUAUUUCUGUGUGUUUGAAGUGCUCGUUUCCGGCUUGGCACUAGCUACUGGAUGGCAUGUGCCAUUGAGGUCCUUGUCCUGUGAUCUCCACUUUAUUAAAUCGAUCUUGACCUGGGCAUCUACAUGGGGAGCAUCUUCAAAUGUAUUGUGCAUCUUAUUUUACCUCUGCUAGACCAAAUUGGCUAUGAUGUGCAAUGUUUGUAAUAAAUCGAGUAUCAUCAAACCUGUUUAUAUUGUUUCGUGGAGACAAACUGAUUUGGUUAUACAUAAUGUCA